GGAUCACCGGUUCAUCACGCCGGGUAUCAGGCUGAUAAAAAUAUACCGUCCUGCUCAGCGAUAACGUCCUGCAGGCCUGGCGUAAACUCAUGGCAAAAUGCGCCGUCAGAUAGCGGACGAGUUCACGCUUUAUCGCUGGUUUU
rnacentral:sRNA from 16 species